CUCACACAAGUAAAUACUAUAAAUACAGUUAAGUACAGUUAAAUGGGUAGGCAUUUAAAUAACAAAAUAUUAGUAUUGCCAGCCCCCCUGAUUUUGAGUCAUUUCAAUUGCUAUAAACAUUAUAAUUUUAGCAAUAUUCAUAGUAAAAAUUUUUGCCUCAUAAUUCAAAUUAAUCGUAGGGCAUUUGACUACAAUCACUAGUCUUUUAACUAUAUAUAUUAAAAUAAUUCAAUUUGUCUUGAAAGUUGAAGAAGUUAGCUAGGAAUGUGAAAAAAAUUUAUAAAGUACACAUUCAUAGAAGAAGUUCUAU
rnacentral:lncRNA from 1 species